UGGGGAAUAUUGCGCAAUGGGGGGAACCCUGACGCAGCCAUGCCGCGUGAAUGAAGAAGGCCUUAGGGUUGUAAAGUUCUUUCGGUAUUGAGGAAGGUUGAUGUGAUAAUAGCACAUCAAAUUGACGUUAAAUACAGAAGAAGCACCGGCUAACUCCGUGCCAGCAGCCGUGGUAAUACGGAGGGUGCGAGCGUUAAUCGGAAUAACUGGGCGUAAAGGGCACGCAGGCGGUUAUUUAAGUGAGGUGUGAAAGCCCCGGGCUUAACCUGGGAAUUGCAUUUCAGACUGGGUAACUAGAGUACUUUAGGGAGGGGUAGAAUUCCACGUGUAGCGGUGAAAUGCGUAGGGAUGUGGAGGAAUACCGAAGGCGAAGGCAGCCCCUUGGGAAUGUACUGACGCUCAUGUGCGAAAGCGUGGGGAGCAAACAGGAUUAGAUACCCUGGUAGUCCACGCUGUAAACGCUGUCGAUUUGGGGGUUGGGGUUUAACUCUGGCGCCCGUAGCUAACGUGAUAAAUCGACCGCCUGGGGAGUACGGCCGCAAGGNUA
rnacentral:rRNA from 1 species